rnacentral:rRNA from 1 species
AAUCAACGCUGGCGGCGUGCCUAACACAUGCAAGUCGAACGAGAAGGUGACUUCGGUCACUGGAUAGUGGCGUCCGGGUGAGUAACACGUAGGUAAUCUACCUUCGGGUGGGGAAUAACGUCUCGAAAGAGACGCUAAUACCGCAUAAUGCAGCGGCACCUAAUGGUGAUUAGUUGUUAAAGCGGGGGAUCUUCGGACCUCGCGCCUGAAGAGGAGCCUGCGGCAGAUUAGCUAGUUGGUGAGGUAAUGGCUCACCAAGGCUUCGAUCUGUAGCUGGUCUGAGAGGACGGCCAGCCACACUGGCACUGACACACGGGCCAGACUCCUACGGGAGGCAGCAGUGGGGAAUUUUGGGCAAUGGGCGAAAGCCUGACCCAGCAACGCCGCGCGAAGGAUGAAAUCUUUCGGGAUGUAAACUUCGGAAGAAUAGGAAAGAAAAAUGACGUACUAUUUUAAGGUCCGGCUAACUACGUGCCAGCCGCCGC